GUCUACAGCCAUGCCACCAUGAACGUGCCCGAUCUCGUCUGAUCUCGGAAGCUAAGCAGGGUCGGGCCUGGUUAGUACUUGGAUGGGAGACCACCUAGAAAUACCAGGUGCUGUAGGCA
rnacentral:rRNA from 1 species